ACUGCCAGUGUUGUCUGUAAACUAUAUUUACCUCGGGCAGAUGCAGGGGUUGAACUUGAUGAUGCCGUGCACUUUGGAGUUAAUCAGAGAGGAGGAACAAGGCUCUGCCAAGGCUGUGCUACCUGCUGAGUCUUCCCAGCAUUUUCUGUUUUUUUUCUGGAAUCUAUCUUCAUCCUGAAGACACUGCAGAAUAUGUCAUGUGGCAGGGAACAAACUCCAACGUUUUCUGCAUUGGAGGUUACAAAGAGCUCACAAACAAGCUUGAAGCAAGAGCACUGUCACCAAAGGAUUAUACGUGCAGGCAGAUGUCUCGUCUCCUUGUCCCUGUUGCCUCAUUGAAAUUCUUGUAGCUGAAUUAUUUCACAUUGUUCAGUGUAUUCAAAUAUUGGUGAGUAAGUUCAUGACCCUUCAUGCAAAUGCCGUAAGGCAUGUGAAGUGAAACAAUUUGUUGUCUUAUUCUCUGAUGCAUAUUUUGUUUGUAUGUAUCACUCUGUCUCAAAGGCUUCCAGUGUCCAUUAGUGAAAGAAAGUGACCGAUGGGUCUCUACAUUUUUUUCUUUUGUUGUGAGGGAGUCUCAUUUAUAUGACUGUCACUGCUAGAUAGUAGAGUACUUGUUCAAAACACUGACGUCAUAAGGCCAAGAAUAUUUGCAAAAAAGCUAGUGUUACCUCCUUGUUGAUCUGAUUAAACAUUACCAGUGGAAUAAGCAGUAUCUGAGAAAGUAUUUAAUCCAAAUGCAGUUAUUGUCAAUAGGCCACAUUAAAACAACCAUUUUGACAUGCCGAAUAGUUUAGUUGUUUAUAUAUUUUUGUGAAGUAUUAGAUUUUGAACAUUGGAUACAUUUAUCUGUGCAGUCUUAUCACAAUUUUUUCAGACAUGUAGUUUAAAGGUUCUUUAAUAGUAGAACGUUUAAUCCUACAAAUGUAAAUUCAAUGCUUUUUUCUUUUUAUUUGCCAUGUUUCCUUUUGAUACAGUUUUUGUA